GAUGAACGCUGGCGGCGUGCCUAAUACAUGCAAGUCGAGCGAACAUACGAGGAGCUUGCUCCUCUGACGUUAGCGGCGGACGGGUGAGUAACACGUUGAUAAACUACCUAUAAGACUGGGAUAAAUUCGGGGAACCGGAGCUAAUACCGGAUAAUAUAUUGAACCGCAUGGUUCAAUAGUGAAAUACGGUUUUGCUGUCACUUAUAGAUGGAUCCGCGCCGCAUUAGCUAGUUGGUAAGGUAACGACUUACCAAGGCGACGAUGCGUAGCCGACCUGAGAGGGUGACUGGCCAGACUGGCUCUGAGGCGAGGUCGCGACUCCUAAGCGAGGCAGCAGUAGGGAAUCUUCCGCAAUGGGCGAAAGCCUGACGGAGCAACGCCGCGGGAGUGAUGAAGGUCUUCCGAUCGUAAAACUCUGUUAUUAGGCAAGAACAAAAGUGUAAGUAACUAUGCACGUCUUGACGGUACCUAAUCAGAAAGCCACGGCUAACUACGUG
rnacentral:rRNA from 1 species